UGAGGAAACGGGAAUAGCGACUUAAUCCAUUAGGUGUAGGCGCUUUCCAGAGGUGGAAUCUUCUAGUUCUUCCUAUUUGAUCCGAAACAGAUCAAUCUAGCCAUGAGCAAGUUAAAGAGAGCUCUAACAGGACUUGGAGGACCGAACCCACGUAUGUGGAAAACUACAAGGAUGACAUAUGGCUUGGGGUGAAAGGCUAACCAAGAUCGGUUAUAGAUGGUUUUUCGCGAAAUCUAUUUCAGUAGUGCGUAUGAUGUCAAUGGCCCAAGGUAGGGCACUCAAUGGGCUAGGGUGGCCUCAUUUCACCUUACCAACCCCAGGGAAACUCUGAAUACAAGCCUCGAUCAUUUGUACAGAUAGACUUUUUGGGUGCUAUGAUCCAAAGUCGAGAUACUGGAAAUCCCGUUGAGUUCUUACGUUUUCAUGUUGAUAACUCAAUUCAUUCGAUUACUACAGGGAUUAACCCAAUCCGGAAUAUGAACCAUAAAAGAAAAUA
rfam:Nicotiana attenuata strain TT chromosome 12, whole genome shotgun sequence.